GAAGGACGUGCUAAUCUGCGAAAAGCGCCGGCGAGGUGAUAUGAACCCUUGACCCGGCGAUGUCCGAAUGGGGAAACCCAGUGCAAUUCGUUGCACUAUCGUUAACUGAAUACAUAGGUUAACGAGGCGAACCGGGGGAACUGAAACAUCUAAGUACCCCGAGGAAAAGAAAUCAACCGAGAUUCCCCCAGUAGCGGCGAGCGAACGG
rnacentral:rRNA from 1 species